rfam:Ictidomys tridecemlineatus contig071671, whole genome shotgun sequence.
GGGGUUGUGGCUCAGUAGUAGAGUGCUCACCUAGCAUGUGUGAGGCAUGGGUUCUAUCCUCAGCACCA